rnacentral:rRNA from 1 species
UAAGGAAUAUUGGUCAAUGGGGGCAACCCUGAACCAGCCAUGCCGCGUGCAGGAAGACAGCCCUAUGGGUCGUAAACUGCUUUUAUUGGGGAAUAACCUCCUGUAUGUAUACAGGACUGAAUGUACCCAAGGAAUAAGGAUCGGCUAACUCCGUGCCAGCAGCCGCGGUAAUACGGAGGAUCCAAGCGUUAUCCGGAUUUAUUGGGUUUAAAGGGUGCGUAGGCGGCCUAUUAAGUCAGGGGUGAAAGACGGUGGCUCAACCAUCGCAGUGCCUUUGAUACUGAUGGGCUUGAUUGCAGCUGAGGUAGGCGGAAUGUGACAAGUAGCGGUGAAAUGCAUAGAUAUGUCACAGAACACCGAUUGCGAAGGCAGCUUACUAAAGUGUAAAUGACGCUGAGGCACGAAAGCGUGGGGAUCAAACA